rnacentral:rRNA from 1 species
UGAGUAACCUGCCCUUAACUCUGGGAUAAGCCUGGGAAACUGGGUCUAAUACCGGAUAUGACUCCUCAUCGCAUGGUGGGGGGUGGAAAGCUUUAUUGUGGUUUUGGAUGGACUCGCGGCCUAUCAGCUUGUUGGUGAGGUAAUGGCUCACCAAGGCGACGACGGGUAGCCGGCCUGAGAGGGCGAUCGGCCACACUGGGACUGAGACACGGCCCAGACUCCUACGGGAGGCAG